rnacentral:rRNA from 1 species
UACGGAAGGCAGCAGUGGGGAAUAUUGCACAAUGGGCGAAAGCCUGAUGCAGCUAUGCCGCGUGUAUGAAGAAGGCCUUAGGGUUGUAAAGUACUUUCAUCGGGGAGGAAAAACAAAACUAAUAAUUUUAUUUCUUGACGUUACCCGAAAAAGAAGCACCGGCUAACUCCGUGCCAGCAGCCGCGGUAAUACGGGAGGGUGCUAGCGUUAAUCAGAAUUACUGGGCGUAAAGAGCACGUAGGUGGUUUUUUUAAAGUCAGAUGUGAAAUCCCUGGGCUUAACCUAGGAACUGCAUUUUGAAACUGAAAUACUAGAGUAUCGUAGAGGGAGGUAGAAUUCUAGGUGUAGCGGUGAAAUGCGUAGAUAUCUGGAGGAAUACCUGUGGCGAAAGCGGCCUCCUAAACGAAUACUGACACUGAGGUGCGAAAGCGUGGGGAGCAAACAGGGAUUAGAUACC